rnacentral:ncRNA from 2 species
UUUUAAGAUAGAGGUGCAUCUUUUAUAAGUACUCACAGGAACGGUUUCAGGAUCGGAUGAACUGGGAUGAAAGGGUAAGAUGCCGAAGUUUUCGAUUCCCUGAAGUCUCGAAUGCUGGUUGCCUGGUGAAUAACCUUGCAAUUGUCAUCCAAAAGAUGGAGCGCUAUCUGAAAC